rnacentral:rRNA from 1 species
UACGUAGGGUGCGAGCGUUGUCCGGAAUUAUUGGGCGUAAAGAGCUCGUAGGCGGUGUGUCACGUCGGCCGUGAAAACCUGCAGCUUAACUGUGGGCUUGCGGUCGAUACGGGCAGGCUGGAGUUCGGUAGGGGAGACUGGAAUUCCUGGUGUAGCGGUGAAAUGCGCAGAUAUCAGGAGGAACACCGGUGGCGAAGGCGGGUCUCUGGGCCGAUACUGACGCUGAGGAGCGAAAGCGUGGGGAGCGAACAGG